rnacentral:rRNA from 2 species
UUUUUGGAGAGUUUGAUCCUGGCUCAGGACGAACGCUGGCGGCGUGCCUAAUACAUGCAAGUCGAGCGGACCAAAAUGAAAGUUUACUUUCAUUUUGGUUAGCGGCGGACGGGUGAGUAACACGUGGGUAACCUGCCUGUAAGACUGGGAUAACUCCGGGAAACCGGGGCUAAUACCGGAUAACUUCUUUCCUCGCAUGAGGAAAGAUUGAAAGAUGGCUUUUGCUAUCACUUACAGAUGGACCCGCGGCGCAUUAGCUAGUUGGUGAGGUAACGGCUCACCAAGGCAACGAUGCGUAGCCGACCUGAGAGGGUGAUCGGCCACACUGGGACUGAGACACGGCCCAGACUCCUACGGGAGGCAGCAGUAGGGAAUCUUCCGCAAUGGACGAAAGU